rnacentral:rRNA from 1 species
UACGGGGGGGCAAGCGUUGUUCGGAAUUAUCUGGGUCGGUAAAGGGCUCGUGAUGGUGGCCAACUAAGUCAGACGAUGAAAUCCCUCGCUUAACCGAGGAACCUGACGCCCAAAACUACUGUGCUUGGAGGGAGACAGAGGUGAGCGGAACUUAGGGUGGAGCGGUGAAAUGCGUUGAUAUCCUAAGGAACACCCGUGGCGAAAGCGGCUCACUGGGGUCUCUUCCUGACGCUGAUGCACGAAAGCUAGGGGAGCGAACGGG